rnacentral:rRNA from 1 species
AGAGUUUGAUCCUGGCUCAGGAUGAACGCUAGCUACAGGCUUAACACAUGCAAGUCGAGGGGAAACGACAUCGAAAGCUUGCUUUUGAUGGGCGUCGACCGGCGCACGGGUGAGUAACGCGUAUCCAACCUGCCCAUCACUUGGGGAUAACCUUGCGAAAGUAAGACUAAUACCCAAUGACGUCUCUAGAAGACAUCUGAAAGAGAUUAAAGAUUUAUCGGUGAUGGAUGGGGAUGCGUCUGAUUAGCUUGUUGGCGGGUAACGGCCACAAGGCGACGAUCAGUAGGGUUCUGAGAGGAGUCCCCANAUUGGAACUGAGACACGGUCCAAACUCCUACGGGAGGCA